GCAAGACUGAAACUCAAAGGAAUUGACGGGGGCCCGCACAAGCGGUGGAGCAUGUGGUUUAAUUCGAAGCAACGCGAAGAACCUUACCAGGUCUUGACAUCCUCUGACAACCCUAGAGAUAGGGCUUUCCCUUCGGGGACAGAGUGACAGGUGGUGCAUGGUUGUCGUCAGCUCGUGUCGUGAGAUGUUGGGUUAAGUCCCGCAACGAGCGCAACCCUUGAUCUUAGUUGCCAGCAUUCAGUUGGGCACUCUAAGGUGACUGCCGGUGACAAACCGGAGGAAGGUGGGGAUGACGUCAAAUCAUCAUGCCCCUUAUGACCUGGGCUACACACGUGCUACAAUGGACAGAACAAAGGGCUGCGAGACCGCAAGGUUUAGCCAAUCCCACAAAUCUGUUCUCAGUUCGGAUCGCAGUCUGCAACUCGACUGCGUGAAGCUGGAAUCGCUA
rnacentral:rRNA from 1 species